rnacentral:rRNA from 1 species
GACGAACCGUGCAAACGUUGUUCGGAAUCACUGGGCUUAAAGGGCGCGUAGGCGGCUUGCCAAGUCAGGGGUGAAAUCUUUCGGCUUAACCGGAAAAGUGCCUCUGAUACUGGCGAGCUAGAGGGAGGUAGGGGCAUGUGGAACUUCCGGUGGAGCGGUGAAAUGCGUUGAUAUCGGAAGGAACGCCGGUGGCGAAAGCGACGUGCUGGAUCUCUUCUGACGCUGAGGCGCGAAAGCGAGGGGAGCGAACGGG